UACGUAGGGUACGAGCGUUGUCCGGAAUUAUUGGGCGUAAAGGGCUCGUAGGCGGUCUGUUGCGUCAGGAGUGAAAACUCGGGGCUUAACCCCGAGCCUGCUUCUGAUACGGGCAGACUAGAGGUAUGCAGGGGAGAACGGAAUUCCUGGUGUAGCGGUGAAAUGCGCAGAUAUCAGGAGGAACACCGGUGGCGAAGGCGGUUCUCUGGGCAUUACCUGACGCUGAGGAGCGAAAGCGUGGGGAGCGAACAGG
rnacentral:rRNA from 1 species